rnacentral:rRNA from 1 species
UGGGGAAUAUUGGACAAUGGGCGCAAGCCUGAUCCAGCCAUGCCGCGUGAGUGAUGAAGGCCUUAGGGGUGUAAAGCUCUUUUGUCCAGGACGAUAAUGACGGUACCGGAAGAAUAAGCCCCGGCUAACUUCGUGCCAGCAGCCGCGGUAAUACGAAGGGGGCUAGCGUUGCUCGGAAUCACUGGGCGUAAAGGGCGCGUAGGCGGCCUGAUAAGUCGGGGGUGAAAGCCUGUGGCUCAACCACAGAAUUGCCUUCGAUACUGUUAGGCUUGAGACCGGAAGAGGUGAGUGGAACUGCGAGUGUAGAGGUGACAUUCGUAGUUAUUCGCAAGAACACCAGAGGCGAAGGCGGCUCACUGGUCCGGUUCUGACGCUGAGGCGCGACAGCGUGGGGAGCAAACAGG